rnacentral:rRNA from 1 species
CGGAGGAAAAGAAACCAACAGGGAUUGCCCUAGUAACGGCGAGUGAAGCGGCAACAGCUCAAAUUUGAAAUCUGGCCCUAGGCCCGAGUUGUAAUUUGUAGAGGAUGUUUCUGGUGCGGUGCCUUCCGAGUUCCCUGGAACGGGACGCCAUAGAGGGUGAGAGCCCCGUCCGGUCGUGCGCUAAGCCUAUGUGAAACUCCUUCGACGAGUCGAGUAGUUUGGGAAUGCUGCUCAAAAUGGGAGGUAUACGUCUUCUAAAGCUAAAUACCGGCCAGAGACCGAUAGCGCACAAGUAGAGUGAUCGAAAGAUGAAAAGCACUUUGAAAAGAGGGUUAAAUAGUACGUGAAAUUGCUGAAAGGGAAGCGCUUAUGACCAGACUUGGGCUAGGUGAAUCAUCCGGCGUUCUCGCCGGUGCACUUUGCCUGUCCAGGCCAGCAUCAGUUCACGUCGGGGGAUAAAGGCGUCGGGAAUGUGGCUCCCUCGGGAGUGUUAUAGCCCAGCGUGUAAUACCCUGACGAGGACUGAGGUACGCGCUCCGCAAGGAUGCUGGCGUAAUGGUCAUCAGCGACCCGUCUUGAAACACGGACCAAGGAGUCGUCUUCGUAUGCGAGUGUUCGGGUGUCAAACCCCUACGCGUAAUGAAAGUGAACGUAGGAGAGAGCUUCGGCGCAUCUCCGACCGAUCCUGAUGUUCUCGGAUGGAUUUGAGUAAGAGCAUACGGGGCCGGACCCGAAAGAAGGUGAACUAUGCCUGUAUAGGGUGAAGCCAGAGGAAACUCUGGUGGAGGCUCGCAGCGGUUCUGACGUGCAAAUCGAUCGUCAAAUAUGGGCAUGGGGGCGAAAGACUAAUCGAACCUUCUAGUAGCUGGUUUCC